CGGAAGAGGGGAAAGGCCAGCUGGGGCUGGCUGAACUCCAGGGAAGAAAGCCAGGGUCAGGGAGUCCUGGCAGAACCCCAGCAAGGGGAGAUGCAGGGUCACUGUUGGGGGCAGUGUGGAGCUGUGGUUAGGGCCAUGGAUUCUGAAGCCGGGCUGCCUGCAUUUGUAUUCCAGGUCUCCACUUAAUGGCUAUUCAAUGGAUCAUGAAGAUGGAGGUGGUGGCUUAUGCCUGUUAAUCCCCCACGCUAUGAGAGGCUGAGGCGGGAGGAUCACUUGGGGCCAGUAGUUUGAGACCAGCCUGGGCAACAUGGCAAGACUCCAUCUCUACAAAAAAAUGCAAAAAGAAAUCAGUGGACCAUAUAUGUACACAUCUAUUUUGGAUUCAUGCCUGUAAGAUACUGAGCAUCGACCAGGCGCGGUGGCUCACACCUGUAAUCCCAGCACUUUGGGAGGCUGAGAUGGGUGGAUCACCUGAGCU
rnacentral:lncRNA from 1 species